rnacentral:rRNA from 1 species
UGCGGGAAACCGUGAUAAGGGGACACCGAGUGCCAGCAUCAUAUGCUGGCUGUCCGGGUGUGUAAAAUACACCCGUUAGCAAGGGCCGGGCAAGACCGGUGCCAGCCGCCGCGGUAACACCGGCGGCCCGAGUGGUGAUCGUGAUUAUUGGGUCUAAAGGGUCCGUAGCCGGUUUGGUCAGUCCUCCGGGAAAUCUGACGGCUCAACCGUUAGGCUUUCGGGGGAUACUGCCAGGCUUGGAACCGGGAGAGGUAAGAGGUACUACAGGGGUAGGAGUGAAAUCUUGUAAUCCCUGUGAGACCACCUGUGGCGAAGGCGUCUUACCAGAACGGGUUCGACGGUGAGGGACGAAAGCUGGGGGCACGAACCGGAUUAGAUACCCGGGUAGUCCCAGCCGUAAACGAUGCUCGCUAGGUGUCAGGCAUGGCGCGACCGUGUCUGGUGCCGCAGGGAAGCCGUGAAGCGAGCCACCUGGGAAGUACGGCCGCAAGGCUGAAACUUAAAGGAAUUGGCGGGGGAGCAC